UACGUAGGGGGCGAGCGUUGUCCGAAUUUACUGGGCGUAAAGAGCGCGUAGGCGGGUCUUUAAGUGAGGGGUGAAAGGUUCGGGCUCAACCCGAACACUGCCUUUCAUACUGGGGACCUUGAGUGCGGGAGAGGCGAGUGGAAUGGUCGGUGUAGCGGUGAAAUGCGUAGAUAUCGAUCGGAACACCCAUGGCGAAGGCAGCUCGCUGGCCCGUGACUGACGCUGAGGCGCGAAAGCGUGGGGAGCAAACAGG
rnacentral:rRNA from 1 species